rnacentral:lncRNA from 1 species
CCCUAAGCUCUUGAUAAUAAAACAACUCAGAGUGUCUAUGGUGUCUUUACAGAUCUUUUUUAUGUGCAGCUUAUGAAGUAUUCUCAAAACCAAAAGCAUUAACUAUAUUGUCCAUUGUUCCUAAAUCCUUGGCAUAAAGAUUGACCAGACCCCAAAUCGAUUCCAAUUGGUUACUCAAUCACAGCUGCAAAUCUUGAGAUUGGUCUUAAACUCCCCAACCAAGCCAUUCUCUAUCUCUUUUCAUGCUUGCCCC